AACGAACGCUGUCGGCAUGCCUAACACAUGCAAGUCGAACGAGACCUUCGGGUCUAGUGGCGCACGGGUGCGUAACGCGUGGGAACCUGCCCUUAGGUUCGGAAUAACUCCCCGAAAGGGGUGCUAAUACCGGAUAAUGUCUUCGGACCAAAGAUUUAUCGCCUUUGGAUGGGCCCGCGUGGGAUUAGCUAGUUGGUAGGGUAAAAGCCUACCAAGGCGACGAUCCAUAGCUGGUCUGAGAGGAUGAUCAGCCACACUGGGACUGAGACACGGCCCAGACUCCUACGGGCGGCCGCAGUGGGGAAUCUUGGACCCUGGGCGAAAGCCUGAUCCAGCAAUGCCGCGUGAGUGAUGAAGGCCUUAGGGUUGUAAAGCUCUUUUACCCGGGAUGAUAAUGCCAGUCCCGGGAGAAUAAGCGCCGGCUCCCUCCGUG
rnacentral:rRNA from 1 species